rnacentral:rRNA from 1 species
UACAGGAGGUCCCGAGCGUUGUUCGGAUUUAUUGGGCGUAAAGGGUGCGUUAGGCGGCGGAGUAAGUUGGGUGUGAAAUCCCGGGGCUUAACCUCGGAAUGGCAUUCAAUACUGCUUCGCUAGAGUACUGGAGAGGAGGCUGGAAUUUACGGUGUAGCAGUGAAAUGCGUAGAUAUCGUAAGGAAGGCCGGUGGCGAAAGCGAGCCUCUGGACAGUUACUGACGCUGAUGCACGAAGGCCAGGGGAGCAAACGGG